rnacentral:lncRNA from 1 species
GCAGUAUCAAUUAUUUCCUAAGGCUGGUGGCAACGUGAACCUGGGAAGGCAGAAACAGAAAUAGCCGGCUGGGCUGCAAGCUGUGCUCCUACUCCUCCCCGACUUGCCAAGCACAGGGUGUGAAGAGCUCUGGGCUAGAGGCUCCCGUGGAGCAGCUCAUGCUUCAUGACAAUCCUGGGAGUGCUGCUGUCACCACCCUACCUGACACAGGAGGGAAGUGAAGCUCCCAUGCAGGUGGCACUAAAAGCAAUCAGGAAGAGGCUGUCCCUUUAAUAGAUGUGAUGGAGAACCUGGCUUAGUGUAUGGGGAAAAAUGAAACUGGGUACUUCACUGGAACCCCCUAUGAAGAUGGACUCCAUGUUAAUUACAGACCUAAAUCUAAAAGAUAAGGGACAGAAUAACUUCAUCACACUGAGGCUGACGGCAGAAUUUGCAAAGGGCUGAGCAGGACUCAAACACAGGACCAUCUGACUUCAAGUGCGAUGUGCAUAGACUGCUGACAAUGGGCACGUGCACAGCAUGGGCUGCCUCAAGAACUCUUCUGAACACUGUGUCUAUAUUAAUCACUCAGUCUUCACAACAACCCUGUGUAGGAGG